UUUUUUUUCUUUUUCUUUAUUGAAUUUUACAAUUUUUCGUUAUUUUACUUUUCAAAUAUAAAAAAAAUUACACAUUUUAUAUAUUAUUCUAUAUAUUCUAUAACUGUUCUCACAUUCCAUUUUGUUAAAAUAAACUAAAAUAAGAUUAUUUUAUAAGGUAAUAACUUUUUUUAGUCACCUAAUUUUUUUAAUUAUAUUAUACUACACUAUAUUUUAUAAAGAAAUUUAUUUUCUAUAUUGUACUCUUUUUUUUUUUUUCC
rnacentral:lncRNA from 1 species